AUGCUUUUGCUAGCAUUUUAUUAUUUAAAAAUUGGAACAAUACAGUUAAGAUUAGCACGGCCCCUGUGCAUGGAUGAUAUGCAAAUUCAUGAAGUGUCUCAAAAAACA
ensembl:snRNA U6 U6 spliceosomal RNA